CUUCUAAUGCGCCAAUGCCCGGUCCCAAGUCCGGGAGGUAGAAAGCAGAGGGGAAG
rnacentral:ribozyme from 2 species